GUCUGGGCGGUGGGCGGGAACGUGACGGCGGCGUGGAAGGAGGACGUGAGUCUGGCAUGUGGAGCAGUGGGCGUGCCAGAGCCCACCCUCACCUGGACCCACCAGAGAACCCCCAUCCCUGACCCCCAUGACAGGUUCCGGGUGCAGCCUGACGGGACGCUGACGUUGGCUGACGUACAGAGGAGUGACAGCGGCCGCUACACCUGCACUGCUGUCAACCAUCACGGCAGUGAUACCGUCACUUACAAUCUCACUGUUCUAGUGCCACCUUCAGCACCAUUACUUCACGUCACAGAGACAACCUCGUCCUCCAUCAGAGUCCAGUGGAGUGUUGAGGACAACGGUGGAGCAGCACUCC